rnacentral:snoRNA from 1 species
AACCGAUGGUAAGGGCAUCUUUACAAAAGGUCUUUGUAUCUCUCCCAUGCAUCAUAGAGUGUUUCUAAAUCCAUCUGCACAAAAGAAGAGAUAUCAUUACUUAAUUU